AGAAGGCACAGCAGUGUCACAGUGUGAAAACAUUAAGCUACUCAGUGCAUUCAGAGAGAAGUAACUGGUUUAUAUAAAACAGAUAAAGGUUUAGACAAAAUAGAUAAAGCUAUGAAAUAAGCCAACAUACAUACCACUAAAACUUUUCAAAGAGGAAAAUAAUUUUAUUCCAGUGUUAAGUCAUAAAACAGUGUGAUAAAAAUCAGACUUUUAACAAUUGCUAAACUUUGUGCAAACACAUGAAAACCUACACAUUCUCCUACUCAGCUGUCGACAUUCCAAGGCAACAGCAGGUGUGAUGACACUACACUGACUGCACAGAAAUGAAUAGAGGGGUCAGAGACCAAGGGCUUAAAGAAUGGUUGCAUUGAUAAAGGACUCAUCUACCCAAGAACAAACACAUUUCUCUAUUCUGAAAUUCAGACUACUUUGGUAUCUGCCAGCAACAGAAUACUGCUGAUUAAGUUACACAGUUCAUCAAUAAUUAACACCUGGGUAAAAGACAGCUCUUCUCUGGAACCAGCAAUACAGACAUCCCUUCUUAGGAGCUAAUUAUAAACUUACGAGGCACAGAGACUUCAGGCAUAUGCAGCACAGUGAAAAAAACCUUCUUGAAUGGACUGUGCUCCAUGAGAGUGAGUCUGUUUUGCACACAUGUGGGUGAGUUUUUCCCAUGCUGUCCCACGAGGUAGGUAUACAUCCCACUCAUUCCACAGGAAAAGAAAAGGCACCAUAGUUCAGCAACUAAUAACAGUUGUAUCUCAAACAUGUCACGUUCCAAUUUCCUGUGUCAUUUGCUAAUCCCACCUACUCAGAAUUAUUAAUGGAGUUGCACAGAUUAAAGAUCCCGUGUCAACAGGGUAGAGCCACCAGUUAGAAACUCAGGAGGAAUUCCCAUCAGCUCUUCCCUCAGACUCUCACAGAAAAAGAACACCUUAAGGGAAGUGACAUGGAAGUAAAAACAUGUUUUUAAUUCUGAAAAAUUUAUAUGGAGCUCCCUCAAGUGAGAUUUGUGUUGAGGGUGCCGAGGUCAAAGUUGAGGGAGCUGUGGCACAGGCCUUUGUGACCCUUCACAGCCCCAUGCCGAGGCCAAAGGCAGUCAGAGCUGUGACAUUGCUGCCGUGGUGGCACUGCUGGACAUACCUGUCUGAGCUCACACAUCCUGGGGUCUCCCCUCUAGAAAAGGAACCAAACAGAACCCCAGGACUGCUCCAUCCAUUCCCUGGGGCAUAGCAGCUGGCAGGUGUCCUCUGCACAAGGACCGCGUGGGACACCCAGAGCUUUGCAAAGCACCCACGCAGGGAACACCCUUCUCAGAACACAAGUCUGUGACAGACACAUCCACACCUCUGCACAGCUGUUGAAAUCCAGAAAAAAAUGAUGCACAACAGAACAAGCUCAUGAAAGUUUGCGGAACUUAAAUAUUUAUUUUUAAACCAUUUAAAACCCCCAAAAACAUUGAAAUGAGCCUCAUCUAUAAACAGAUUUACAAGACUAACAACUACAGAAGCUAGAGGAGCACUACAAUUUGUUUCUGUGAUGCAGUUAUUUUGUAAAUCUUCAGAUCAACUGUAUUUACAACUUUUGCUGCUUUUACAUUUAUAAAAAUAUUUAUUUAAUCCAUAACAUUAUUGUUUUCAAAAACUAUUUCCAGGCUUUUUUCUCAGAUAUAAAUUCUAAUUGAAUUUCAGUUAUAUAGCAGAUGAAAGUUUUAAACAGAAACUUUUUUUUAAAA